AUUGAACGCUGGCGGCAGGCCUAACACAUGCAAGUCGAGCGCGCGGCGGACGGGUGAGUUAUGUAUGGGUAUCUGCCAGAUAGAGGGGGAUAACUACUGGAAACGGUGGCUAAUACCGCAUACUCUCGGAUGAAUCCAUAUGGGAUUAGCUAGUAGGUGGGGUAACGGCUCACCUAGGCGACGAUCUCUAGCUGGUCUGAGAGGAUGAGCAGCCACACUGGGACUGAGACACGGCCCAGACUCCUACGGGAGGCAGCAGUGGGGAAUAUUGCACAAUGGGCGAAAGCCUGAUGCAGCCAUGCCGCGUGUAUGAAGAAGGCCUUAGGGUUGUAAAGCACUUUCAGCGGGGAGGCGUUACCCGCAGAAGAAGCACCGGCUAACUCCGUGCCAGCCGCCGCGGUAAUAC
rnacentral:rRNA from 1 species